UACAGAGGGGGCAAGCGUUGCUCGGAAUCACUGGGCGUAAAGGGCGCGUAGGCGGGCUGGCAAGUCGGUCGUGAAAUCCCUGGGCUCAACUCAGGGGGGUCGGCCGAUACUGCCGUUCUUGAGGGAUGCAGAGGAGACUGGAAUUCCCGGUGUAGCGGUGAAAUGUGUAGAGAUCGGGAGGAACACCGGUGGCGAAGGCGGGUCUCUGGGCAUUCCCUGACGCUGAGGCGCGAAAGCGUGGGGAGCAAACGGG
rnacentral:rRNA from 1 species